UCCAUCAAUUUUAAAUGUUCAUUUAUGAAAAAGAGAGGCUAACUACUUUAAUAUUUCAAACCGAAAUAAAAAUUCGAAAUAACCGAACCGAAUUUGUAAAAACCGAAUCAAACCAAAUUUAUUUCGAUUUGAUUAUGGAUGUCAUUUUUAUCGAUCCAAAAAUUGAUAAAUCGAACCGAUAUUAAACAAUCAGACCAAACCGAUCGAACACCCCACCCCUACAUAUAUACACCAACACACACCUCACAUACGGAGACUCCUCCUCCUUCAUGAGAGAACCCACUGGAAUUUUUAUUUUUUACACAAUACCCAUAUAGAUAACACACAUAGAUAUAGCCAUAGACACUGAAAGAAGGGGAAAUUGAAUCAUCUUCUCCAUUAUAUCAUAUACGCGCACACACACAGAGCACUCACCAGUGAGAGGGAAAGAUCGAUAGAGAGGGAGAAAGAAGUGAAGAGUUAAAAUCAGAGGAGAGCUGAGAGAGGGAAGAGAUCGACGAUUGAGAGAUUUGUCGCCGCCGUAGCUCUGGUGAAUACCCAACAAAAACCAAUCAAAAACAGUUGGGAAACCACCAAAUCCGACCCCUCGGCGCCGAUAUCGGCGACCAUCCACCGAAAAGCGCCGAAACCCACUGGUGAGCAACCGAAAUCGGCUCAAUCAGUCUUGAUUCCAAUGAAACCAGUCGAAAAAUGAUUGCAACAGUAACGGGAGCGAGAAUUUGGUACGGAUUUAUCUUCGUUUUGCGGUUUUUAAUUUGGGUUGAUGAAAAAAAUAGAAAAGUGGGUUCUCCGGGAUUGGAUUGGGUUCGCAUUAAGGUUCAGUUUGAGGUUUGGCGGCGCUCAAAUCAAGUAAUCCAAUUUGAUCACAAUAAAAUCGUCAAUUGAGGGAAUGCUCUGCAAGAUUUUGUAUUCGGAAGGACGUUCUUGAUGAAGGCCCAGGGCAUUGGGUAAAACAUUGGAGCAUAGUUUAGGAUUAGUGUAGGUUACCUUAGGAUUUAUAUUUUCGUAUUUUUCUAUUUUGGACUGUAUAAUUGGACUAGACACUAUAUUUUGAGUUUGUUUUGUUUUGUUUGUUUGAUUGAUUGUUAUA